GUUGAUGAUGUCAUCAGUAUGAGUCUCGUUUGUGCAGUUAUCAAUGGAAGCAUGGCUAUCUUCUUUAAACAUCUACAUUUUGGCUUUAGAUGGUAUUGUCGUUUUACCCUACUCCAAGUGCCUUCAGUAAACAGAGAUAUACUGGAAUCUCUUGUUGGUGUGGUUAUUGGAGAGGAGUUUAGCUGCCUGUCAAGCUAAGCAAGGUGCUUCAUUUGAGGACAGGACAACAGGGCUAAAGUGGACUCACAGUUUAACACCACCAAUGCGAGAAGCCUGUGGGAGGAGUUAAACACAAUAACAGACUUUGAGAGGGAAACUAGUUCUGUGAAUAACAUCAGCGCUGCGCUUCCAGACGAGCUGAAAACUUUCUACGCCUGUUUCGAGGCAAAUCACACCACGCUCACGGAAAGAGUCCCCACCCCCUCUACCGCCGAUUCAAAUGCUUUGAGAAGCUGGUCAGAGACUUUAUCUAAUCCUUACUACACCUGGUACAAAAUGUGUUGCAAGUGCAAGUGGUUCAAAGACCUAUAUUUUUCCUCAUAAUGCCACUUUUCUUAAAGAUUCUUGAUAUCAAUAAAGUGCCAGUGCAAAACUGUAUUACUGAGCAAUA